rnacentral:tRNA from 1 species
GGCAGUAUAGCUCAGUAGUAGGGAAUGUGUUUACCAUUCAUAAGGCCCUGGGCUCCAUUCCCAGCACUCCCU